GCCUACGGGGCGCAGCAGUGAGGAAUAUUGGUCAGUGGGCGGGAGCCUGAACCAGCCAAGUCGCGUGAGGGACGACGGUCCUAUGGAUUGUAAACCUCUUUUGUCGGGGAACAAAGGCGCCCACGGGUGGGCGGAUGAGUGUACCCGAAGAAAAAGCAUCGGCUAACUCCGUGCCAGCAGCCGCGGUAAUACGGAGGAUGCGAGCGUUAUCCGGAUUUAUUGGGUUUAAAGGGUGCGCAGGCGGAAGAUCAAGUCAGCGGUAAAAUUGAGAGGCUCAACCUCUUCGAGCCGUUGAAACUGGUUUU
rnacentral:rRNA from 1 species